ACAGCAGUCGCCGCGGUAAUACGGAGGGAGCUAGCGUUGUUCGGAAUUACUGGGCGUAAAGCGCACGUAGGCGGUUUAUCAAGUCAGAGGUGAAAGCCCGGGGCUCAACCCCGGAACUGCCUUUGAAACUAGUAGACUUGAAUCUUGGAGAGGUCAGUGGAAUUCCGAGUGUAGAGGUGAAAUUCGUAGAUAUUCGGAAGAACACCAGUGGCGAAGGCGACUGACUGGACAAGUAUUGACGCUGAGGUGCGAAAGCGUGGGGAGCAAACAGGAUUAGAUACCCGCGUAGUCCCUGUCUCUUAUAC
rnacentral:rRNA from 1 species